rnacentral:snoRNA from 1 species
ACCCUCUGUGGUUCCCUUUCCCAUCAGAUCUGAAUACUGGUCUUGGUGGUUGUAAAAGGAGGGAAAGUGAUACUGAAGAGCUGGCCUCACAAUAUUACAGCCUGGCAUAUAGCAUGUGGGCUAGUUUCAACAGGA